rnacentral:rRNA from 1 species
UACGAAGGGGGCGAGCGUUUGUUCGGAAUUACUGGGCGUAAAGGGCGCGUAGGCGGCCGAUCAAGUCAGAUGUGAAAGUCCUGGGCUUAACCUGGGGACUGCAUUUGAUACUGAUUGGCUUGAAUGCAGGAGAGGAUAGCGGAAUUCCCAGUGUAGAGGUGAAAUUCGUAGAUAUUGGGGAAGAACACCGGUGGCGAAGGCGGCUAUCUGGACUGUGGAUUGACGCUGGAGGCGCG